rnacentral:rRNA from 1 species
GACGUAGGGUGCGAGCGUUGUCCGGAUUUAUUGGGCGUAAAGAGCUCGUAGGCGGCUCGUCGCGUCGACCGUGAAAACCCGCGGCUUAACUGCGGGCUUGCGGUUGAUACGGGCGGGCUAGAGUUCGGUAGGGGAGACUGGAAUUCCUGGUGUAGCGGUGAAAUGCGCAGAUAUCAGGAGGAACACCGGUGGCGAAGGCGGUUCUCUGGGCCUUACCUGACGCUGAGGAGCGAAAGCGUGGGGAGCGAACAGG